rnacentral:rRNA from 1 species
AAAAGAAACUAACCAGGAUUCCCCUAGUAACGGCGAGCGAAACGGGAAGAGCCCAUCGUGAAAAUCUCCUCUCAUGAGGCGAAUUGUAGUGUACAGAGCUGGUCCCUACUGCCACCCCGGCCCAAGUGCUGUGGAAGCGGCCGUCGAAGAGGGUGAGAGCCCCGUCGGCCGGGUGCUGGCAGUUCCACGGGAGCGGACUCGCAGAGUCGGGUUGUUUGGGAAUGCAGCCCUAAGUUGGUGGUAAGUCCCAUCUAAGGCUAAAUACUGGCGAGAGACCGAUAGCGAACAAGUACCGUGAGGGAAAGAUGAAAAGAACUUUGAAAAGAGAGUCAAAAAGUGCUUGAAAUUGUUGAGGGGGAAGCCAUUGGCUGGUCAAGAUGCGCCCGGGCUCGAAGCGAGCUCAACGGCUCGUGUCACGCGCCGGGCGCCUGUCACCGCGGGUUUGGCGUGCGGGAGAAACCCGCCUCUGUCGGCGGCCUAUGCCGCGCGCCGGACCCACGUUGGCUCAAGGCCGUCAAUGGGCCCGUCUUGAAACACGGACCAAGGAGUCUAACAUGUACGCGAGUUGGCGGGUGGAAAACCCGUGAGCGCAAGGAAACUGACUGGUGGGAGGGCCUGUGCCUGCACCAUCGACCGACCAUGAUCUUCUGUGAAAGGUUCGAGUACGAGCGUACCUGUUGGGACCCGAAAGAUGGUGAACUAUGCCUGAGCAGGGCGAAGCCAGAGGAAACUCUGGUGGAGGCUCGUAGAUGUGCUGACGUGCAAAUCGCUUUUCGGACUUGGGUAUAGGGGCGAAAGACUAAUCGAACCAUCUAGUAGCUGGUUCCCUCCGAAGUUUCCCCCAGGAUAGCUGGAGCUCAUCAGUUUUAUCAGGUAAAGCGAAUGAUUAGAGGUACCGGGGAAGCAAUUUCCUCGACCUAUUCUCAAACUUUAAAUAGGUAAGAAGUCACGGUUGCGUAAUCGAACCGCGGCAAUGAAUGGGAGCUCCAAGUGGGCCAUUUUUGGUAAGCAGAACUGGCGAUGCGGGAUAAACCGAAAGCUGACUUAAGGCGCCCAACUACGCACUAACCUAGAUCCCACAAAGGGUGUUGAUUCAUAUAAACAGCAGGACGGUGGUCAUGGAAG